rnacentral:rRNA from 1 species
UAGGGAAUCUUCGGCAAUGGACGGAAGUCUGACCGAGCAACGCCGCGUGAGUGAAGAAGGUUUUCGGAUCGUAAAGCUCUGUUGUAAGAGAAGAACGAGUGUGAGAGUGGAAAGUUCACACUGUGACGGUAUCUUACCAGAAAGGGACGGCUAACUACGUGCCAGCAGCCGCGGUAAUACGUAGGUCCCGAGCGUUGUCCGGAUUUAUUGGGCGUAAAGCGAGCGCAGGCGGUUAGAUAAGUCUGAAGUUAAAGGCUGUGGCUUAACCAUAGUACGCUUUGGAAACUGUUUAACUUGAGUGCAAGAGGGGAGAGUGGAAUUCCAUGUGUAGCGGUGAAAUGCGUAGAUAUGUGGAGGAACACCGGUGGCGAAAGCGGCUCUCUGGCUUGUAACUGACGCUGAGGCUCGAAAGCGUGGGGAGCAAACAGGAUUAGAUACCCUGGUAGUCCACGCCGUAAACGAUGAGUGCUAGGUGUUAGACCCUUUCCGGGGUUUAGUGCCGCAGCUAACGCAUUAAGCACUCCGCCUGGGGAGUACGACCGCAAGGUUG